AGCUCUGUAAGCGUAUACCAAAGUUGUUGCAGUUAAAACGCUCGUAGUCGGAUUUUGGCGGACUUGUGCUUGUGCGCGUUGAGCGUGUGGGUAUCAGGUGUGCUUUUGUGGAUGGCGCAUGGUGUCGGCUUUAUUGUCGGUGUUGUGUGCGGCCAGUUUUUACUGUGAAAAAAUUAGAGUGUUCAAAGCAGGCGUUUGCCGUGAAUACAUUAGCAUGGAAUAAUAGAAUAGGACUUGGUUCUAUUUUGUUGGUUUGUGAGGGCUGAGUAAUGAUUAAGAGGGACGGUUGGGGGCAUUUGUAUUUCGACGUCAGAGGUGAAAUUCUUAGAUCGUCGGAAGACAAACAGCUGCGAAAGCGUCUGCCAAGGACGUUUUCA
rnacentral:rRNA from 1 species